rnacentral:rRNA from 1 species
AGUGAACGCUGGCGGUAGGCCUAACACAUGCAAGUCGAACGGCAGCACAGUAAGAGCUUGCUCUUACGGGUGGCGAGUGGCGGACGGGUGAGGAAUACAUCGGAAUCUACUUUUUCGUGGGGGAUAACGUAGGGAAACUUACGCUAAUACCGCAUACGACCUACGGGUGAAAGCAGGGGAUCUUCGGACCUUGCGCGAUUGAAUGGGCCGAUGUCGGAUUAGCUAGUUGGCGGGGUAAAGGCCCACCAAGGCGACGAUCCGUAGCUGGUCUGAGAGGAUGAUCAGCCACACUGGAAUUGAGACACGGUCCAGACUCCUACGGGAGGCAGCAGUGGGGAAUAUUGGACAAUGGGCGCAAGCCUGAUCCAGCCAUACCGCGUGGGUGAAGAAGGCCUUCGGGUUGUAAAGCCCUUUUGUUGGGAAAGAAAAGCAGCAGGUUAAUACCCCGCUGUUCUGACGGUACCCAAAGAAUAAGCACCGGCUAACUUCGUG